ACCCGCGGCCCCCGCGCGCCCCCCGCCGCGCCCGCUACAGGGGGUCUGUAUGCCUGGCCCCCUGGGACGCGCUCCGCGCCCACGCCCUGGCCCGGCGCGCGCGCGUGCCCACACUCUCUCUCUCUCUCACACACUCGCGCGCGCACACGUGGUGGCUUUUAUUUCUUUGCACGUGUUUAUGGUCUUCCUCCUAGAGCCUUCUACCUCCCUCAGCCCCACCUCCUCCACCUCUACAGAUUCAGCCGUCUCCCCGAACACACCCAAUCAGCUGCCCCGCAGUUUUAGGCACGGAAGGCGAGAGCCAGGCAGACCUGGGACUCGGGCUGCGCGGAUAAUUGGGAGCGAUUAGGUCCCGAGAUACGUAAAUUUCAACCGCGAGGGGCGCCCGGGAGCUGGGAAAGGCAAAGGGAGGACGUGCGCCCGUGUGAGGCUUGUGAGAGUGUAUUGGAGAGGGAGGUUCUGAUGGAGUCUGGCAUGACCAGGUGGAAGACUCAGUGUGUGUGAUUCUGAGAGUCUCUCUAACCGUGGCGUGCAGAGGAAGUUUAUAAAACAGAUGGAGCCACAACCCAGAGCUGGCAACUGUGUCCAGGGAAUGAGAAAUGCUCUCAGAGUCGUACACACAGCAUGUAUGUGACCUUGGGCAAACCACUGACCUCUCUAAGCAUCAGCCAUCUGAAAAAUGUGGAAAUGGCCAGGAAAUUUUUGAAGCAGAGAAGUCACUUGGAGAAAAUGAACGGCUCUCAUUUAUUUUUAUCAACCAUUCUUUGUGUCCUGAGUUAUUCCCGAGGUUUUGAAUACCUACAGUAUUUUUCUCAGUCAUCAUAAUCCCCUCACUGUGGUCCUGAUUCGGAGCUAUUUUGUUCACUACUCAGAGCUUCAUUCAUUACUCAAACACGGGGAGGGAGUGGGGGGCAGAUAAAGAAGGAGAGGCUUGAUUCUUUGACACAUGGCUCUUGCAUUUUUCCUUGAGAAGAGGGUUGGUUUGGUGCCACAAGAUAAAGAGCACUUUACAAAGGCCUCCCUUUGGUGGUGGAGCAGAUUUGCACACAAAUGCAGAGCAACUUACCCUGGCACUCAAAUAAAGGGAUCCUCUAGUUCUUAAACCCUGCCUUACCUAUGGAAAAGGGUCUGAUUAUGUGACAGUUGUUAAACAUCCUCAGUGUUGUAGCCGCUGCCCAGACACAUCAAACUCACAGGCCAAAUCCACACGCCAUGUGAUAAUACCAAUCUAUUAAAAAUGUUUGAUGGCUCCUAAGACAGUUGCAGCUGUUAUUAUUUGUUACAGGAGCCAGAAUUUUCUUUCACUCAGAGAUCUGUGUAGUUUGCAAACAUGUAAGUAUAGGAAUGUGUCCUGAAGCAUUGUUUUAUCAUUAAAAAAAUGCAGAAACAACAUAGAAUUCUGACAUUAUCAACUAGUUAAAGCAACAGUGGCAAAACUGUCCAAGGGAAAAUUGCAUUCUUUGAAAAGAAGGAAGUAAAUAUGCAUGACGUGGUAUGUCAUGGUUUCUAAAAUGAAUUAGUAGUGAAAAAAAUCAGGGUAUAAAAGUGCAU